rnacentral:rRNA from 1 species
UGGGGAAUAUUGCACAAUGGGCGCAAGCCUGAUGCAGCCAUGCCGCGUGUGUGAAGAAGGCCUUCGGGUUGUAAAGCACUUUCAGCGAGGAGGAAGGUGGUGAGCUUAAUACGCUCAUCAAUUGACGUUACUCGCAGAAGAAGCACCGGCUAACUCCGUGCCAGCAGCCGCGGUAAUACGGAGGGUGCAAGCGUUAAUCGGAAUUACUGGGCGUAAAGCGCACGCAGGCGGUUUGUUAAGUCAGAUGUGAAAUCCCCGGGCUCAACCUGGGAACUGCAUUUGAAACUGGCAAGCUAGAGUCUCGUAGAGGGGGGUAGAAUUCCAGGUGUAGCGGUGAAAUGCGUAGAGAUCUGGAGGAAUACCGGUGGCGAAGGCGGCCCCCUGGACGAAGACUGACGCUCAGGUGCGAAAGCGUGGGGCAGCAAACAGGAUUAGAUACCCUGGUAGUCCACGCUGUAAAACGAUGUCGAUUUUGGAGGUUGUGCCCUUGAGGCGUGGCUUCCGGAGCUAACGCGUUAAAUCGACCGCCUGGGGAGUACGGCCGCAAGGUUAAAACUCAAAGGAAUUGACGGGGUC